CAGCUGGCUGCCUGGCUCUGGCCCACAGAGGGCAAGUGUGGAGGAAUUCCCAGCCCUAAGGUCUUGCUGGUAGCUGUGAGCAAGGAUGCAGCUGCUGUAGGCUGAUGUCUUUCCUGGUGGGGCAGAUGGAGGUGCAGCGCCGGCCCUGGUUAGUGAAGUACGGGGACAGCGGGGAGCAGAUUGCCGGCUUCGUGAAGGAGUUCUCCCACAUCGCCUUUCUCACGAUCAAGGGCGCCGGCCACAUGGUUCCCACCGACAAGCCCCUCGCUGCCUUCACCAUGUUUUCCCGCUUCCUGAACAAGCAGCCAUACUGAUGACCACAGCACAGCUCCAUGGCCUGAUGCAGCCCCUCCCAGCCUCUCCCGCUAGGAGAGUCCUCUUCUAAGCAAAGUGCCCCUGCAGGCCAGGUUCUGCCGCCAGGACUGCCCCCUUCCCACAGCCCUGUACAUCCCAGACUGGGCCCAGGGUCUCCCAUAGACAGCCUGGGGGCAAGUUAGCACUUUAUUCCCGCAGCAGUUCCUGAAUGGGGUGGCCUGGCCCCUUCUCUGCUUAAAGAAUGCCCUUUAUGAUGCACUGAUUCCAUCCCAGGAACCCAACAGAGCUCAGGACAGCCCACAGGGAGGUGGUGGACGGACUGUAAUUGAUAGAUUGAUUAUGGAAUUAAAUUGGGUACAGCUUCAAAUCCCGUCUUCUCUGUGGCACUGGGGGUUAGAGGGGGCACUACAGGCUAUGAAUGUGGGAAAAGAGGGGCUGAGAGGGGUUGGGGUCCUGAAUGACAGCUGCCAGCUUGGGGAUUGAGGGCUCAGACAGCUGCUGUGGACGGUGGGGGGGCAGUGGACGCCCUGACAUCAGCAGGCCGGUUCUUCUCAAUCACCUCUCGCAGCCCUUUGGCAAAGUGGAGAUCAGCCCCGAUGGUGAGGAAUCCCUGUGUGGGGGAGAGGGGAGCCUCAUUUAUUCAUUCAGUUAUUGAGGCCAGAGUUUAGAGAUCAAGAGACAGAGUGUUUGUCUUUCAGGAACUCAAUCUAAUGGAUAAUUCCAUGUCAAGGUGUUAAAAUGAGGCUGUAGGAGUGUAGACU
rnacentral:lncRNA from 1 species